GCUCAUGGGCAGAAGUGACUUGCCUUGUUUCAGAUGAGACUUUGGACCAUGAACUUUUGAGUUAAUGCUGAACAGCUCCACCUUGCAGAGAUGCUGUCAAAUAUGCACAAGCUCUUAUAUUAUCAGUGUCUUCCCAAGAUGAAGCCAAGUCCUGAUGAGCUGAAGCUAAGAGUUCUUUUCAUCUUGACAUACUGGCAGCCAGCUAACCCAACCAUGGCCCUAUUUUCUCCAACCAUUACUAAACAUGUGGAUGUGAUGGUGGAGCUGGAAUAGCUGUGACUUGGGGAAUGGAGGCCACAAAUGGCACAGCAACAGGAAGAAAGAAGCCUUGAUCUUUGAUAAGUUGAGUAUUCUAACUCAUUUGGAAUGCUUAUGUUUAGACUCCUAUUUAAAAGAUAAAUAAAUAUCGAUCUGUUAUUGGAUUUUUUGUCCCUGACCACCAAACCUAAUCAUAACUGACAUAGUCAAUGCUGCUUUUACUCUACUGGUAAAGCCAGUGAUCCUUUGAAACUCAUGUUAUUUGCCUAAAUCAUCUUCAACCACGCCUCAUUGCUGAUCUUUGCUGACCUUUUUUAUGCCCACUAAUCCUUUGAAGACCUCAGUAUCUUCAAUAUCCAUAUCCAUUUAGAAAAUAUAUUGAUUACAUUGGCUUCUCAAUUUUUAUUCUUCUUAAUUCCUUCAAUGUUUUCCAUUUGUAUCAAUCAGGAUACAAUUAGCUAUGUGACUAACAAACAACCCCCAAAUUUCAGUUGCUUAUAGUAUCAAAGGUUUAUUUUUUGUUCCUGUUGCAGGGCAUUCAUGUGUUUUCUUCACUCCAGUGCCCAUGCUGACUUUGCCUCUAAUUGGGAUAUUGCUACUCUUGUGGGAGAGGUAUAAAGAAAACAAAGCAAACUAAACCAAAACAAAACAAAACAAAGACACACACACACACACACACACACACACACACACACACACAGAGGGAACUAUAUACAAGCUGGCUCUUUCAAAACUUCUGCCUGCUCGAAAGUGGCACAUAUCCCUUAUACUCAUAUUUUAUUGGCUAAAGUAAUUAUUUGGUUAAGUGGAAUAUUAAUAAUAUUAAUAGGGUGAGAGAUGGGCAACUUUAGUGGAGAAUAAUAUAUCACUCUAAUACCUAUUGCAAUGCACAUAGCAUAUAUAUUCAAUACAUAUUUAUAGGUGGAUUGAUUGGAAUAUAAAAUCAUUUUUAAUUGUACAAAUUAUUUAAUUUUAUUUUGAAGAAAUGUGGGUCAUCCAAUUUAGUCUUUUAUCUGAUUCUGAAACAAUUUCUAUAGUAUAUGGACAAUUUGCUAAUCUUUCUUUAAAAAACUGCUUAGCAGGGAGCCUACUAUCUUACAACAUAAUCCAUAAAUAUUUAUUUUUACACAAAAAUAGUUAUUUCCAUGGCACUUUGGAAGAAUGAAGGUAAACGUGGGCUCAAGCCCCAUGUGUUGAACCAGGAAGUCCCUAUAAAUUUUGAUUUUUUUUUUUUUUUUGAGAUGGAGUCUUGCUCUGUUGCCCAAGCUGGAGUGCAGUGGUGUGAUCUCGGCUCACUGCAACCUCCACCUCCUUGGUUCAAGCAAUUCUCCUGCCUCAGCCUCCCAAGUAGUUGGGACUACAGGCACAUGCCACCAUGCCCAGCUAAUUUUUGUAUUUUUAGUAGAGAUGGGGUUUCACCAUGUUGACCACGCUGGUCUUGAACUCCUGAGCUCACGGUCUGCCCACCUCGGCUUCCCAAAGUGCUGGGAUUACAGGCAUGAGCCACCGCGCCUAGCCAAAUUUUGAACAUUUUUAAUGUUAACUCUUCUUUGUAACAAACUGAAAUUAGUCUCCUCAUAACCUCUUUCUUCUGGUUUUUAACUUAGUUUGGAGAUUAAUAAGACCAGGUUAGAAAAGACAGCUUGCUUGACAAAAUGAAGAGCACCUACACUCUCUGAAGAAGAGUUUUUACUCAGUUCCAGCCAACUGCAUAAUUCAGGAACUUGCUCUCAUUCUGCCAAAGUUCAUGUACCCUAAGUACUAGAAAUGGGUUUCAAUUAAAAAUAGAACAAAAUAACACUAACAGGUCAACCACAACACAUGAUUGUGGCCUAAGUAUUCCCAAAACGUGAUGACUAUUUUCGACAGACAUAGUUUGAGAAUAAUUCCCCCACUCUGAACGCUUUUUGUGGCAGCUUCUUAGUUAUGUCUUGUAGUUGAAAAUUGAUAGAAAAGAAACAAAUUUUGAAAACAAGAGUACCCUCUAUAUCUCUUAGGUGCUUCUUGAUUUUUGAGUUUCAUAAGAGCACGGCCAGGGAAAGUGAGAUUUUAUAUAUAUGAUGUGGAAAAUUCCAUCACAAUGGGACCGAACCUCGUAGGAAAAGCGAUUGACAUCUCUCAUGCACAUGGUGUCUAUCUUUGUAUAGCUCUAAUCAUUGAUGAAGCUUUUUUGAGCUGAGGGUGGGGAGAGGUAGAGAAUAAGAAGUAGUAGUAUGGGAGCAUUUGAGAACUCCCUUCUGAUAAGACCAAUAAUGAACCAUGUUUGUUUAUUGUGUAAGCACCCAUAGACUUUUUUUUUUUGGCUAAAAUUCAAUUGUACAGUGUUUCUUCUGCUUGCUCCAUGUGUUUGGUUUACUUUAGAAAACAGAUUUCCUGUACUAGGUGCUCACAGGCCUUGUAUUCAAUGCUUCACUCUAGAGCUAUGUUAUGAAUCAGUCUCUAAAUUGCCAGUCAGUAGUUUCUGGAUUUGAUCCUCUCAUGUUAAAAAUUGGAAUAUUUCCUUAUUCUGUAUUUCUGGAAUUUGUCAUAUUUGUCACAAUUCUUCAGUAAUAACUAAUAGUUGAUUCUAUGAUAAUAUCUUAAGGUUUUGACUCUUGAGGUAAAAUUAAUCAGAACCCAAGAUCUUGAAUUCAUUUAAAACAGUCCAGUGCUCUGGCAUUAUUUUGAUUUUUGUUUGUUUAUUUGUUUAUCAAAUAUUUAUUUAAGCCCUAAGUGUUUGGAUCUUAAGUUGGGAAUGGAGAUAUAAAAAUUAAUUAGAUACAAUUUUGUUUUCUAGGACUCCAUGUUUCAUAAUAACAACAGUUAAAGUAAUUGAGUGCUGCAUGUGCACAAGGACUACAUGUCAGGUGUUUGCCUACUGGAAGCUCAUUUUUUUCCUCACAGCAUCAUGGGGGUGACACUUUAUUUUGAUGAAAAGGAAGCUGUUGCAUAGAGAGAUCCAAUGAGUUCCUGAAGAUCUCACAGCUCAUAAGUAGAAGUAUCAAUAUUCAAACCUAAAACUUGUGUUCAUAUCAUGUUACUUCCCUGAUUCAUUGGCCUUACUUGAAAUUCUGUCUGUUAUUAACCCAUUUGACUACCAGUUUUGGUUUUAAGAACAUUCUUCUUAAUGAAGAAGCCAAGAGCAAAAGAGGAUUUAAAAGUAAUGCUUAUUUUCUAUCACUCACAGAAAUAGCUGAAUUCUGUCUGUGGGUAUACAUUCCUGCACAAUAGAAGUAUGAUAUUACUUUGCCUUCUCCUAACACUGGGGCUAUUUACUUUUCUUCAUUGUUCCAACUUUUAACAUAUUUGAAAAUACCCUUUAUGUUGUUCUUUGUCCUAAGACUCAUUCACACCUCUGCUUUCUCCACAUUUCAACAUUUCUAUCAAAAACCUGUGAAGGUUUCCCAUGAUCCUUUUAUGUGUUCCACUCACCCAUACAUCCUUGACUCAAGUCAUCAUCCCGGAGGAGCCGUACUUUAGAUGUCUUCUUUCCCUGUGGUUUAUCCUUAUUAGGCUGAUACAUAGCUAUUACAUUUUAAGGAAAAUAUCUUGCCUCUCAGUAUAUUUGAUAAUAGCAAUAAUUUUUCUUGUCCCCUAAACUGCUGGAAAUCAGUUUCUCUUAAGUCUAAAAUGCAUGUGAGACCAGGUCUAGAACUGCUUCCCUGGAUGAAUGUGCCAAGAUACUUUUCUCCUAAGCUUCCUACUGCCUUAGUUUCAUCAAUAAUUUUUUUGAUAUAAUAAUCAUCUAAGUCUAGAGCAGUAGUAACCUUUGUUAAUUCUACUCUCUCAUCGGACAUAAAAAGUUAGCAAGGUAACUUCAUAACAAUUGCUUUGCUUUCAUCAGUAUAAGAUUUCCAGCCAAAUCUAAGUAGGUAAAAUUCCCCAGUUCUUAGUAAAUUUCUUUGCUAUUAUAAAACAAUCCAUUUUAGAAAACCUAUUUCAUUUGCUCAGUGUUCUCAAUAGUCAGUAGCAUCCAAAAAUAUUCCUGAUGAAAGUGUUCUUAAUAUAGAGUCAGAUCAGUGUACAAGCCGUGGUAUCAGUUUCCUUUUACCAGCACCAUCACCUUUAGUGAUAACUAGUCUUCUCAGAGUCUUUUUACCUAUUACAAGAUGAAAUCAAAUGGCAUAAUGUGAAAGAGUAUUUUAAAAUAUAGAAAUUAUUUUAAUAAAAAUAAUUCCAGGAUGCCUUGCGUUUUUCUCCCCCUUUGAUGUCUUUACCUAAAUGAAUAUCCUUUAAGCUAAAAUCAGAUAGGCCUUAGGUGGUCAUUUGUUUUGUUUGUUUUCCUUCAUGUUAAACACUAGCUUAAAUAAAUAUUACAGAACUUUGUGAUUUCACCAAAGUCAGAGUCAAAAUAUGUUGAUAUGUAUUUGUAUGUGUCACAAUUUAAGAUAACACAACAUUUUAUUAACCCAAAGAUUAUUCGUAUGUCUUACUGGUCUCACAGAGUAAUUGUUAUGGCAAAUAUGUUUCCUUAGGACUCAAUCAUCUAUAGAAGUCUGCAGUUCUAUAAAAUCA